AUUGAACGCUGGCGGCAUGCCUUACACAUGCAAGUCGAACGGCAGCGGACCUUCGGGUGCCGGCGAGUGGCGAACGGGUGAGUAAUAUAUCGGAACGUACCUUUCAGUGGGGGAUAACGUAGCGAAAGUUACGCUAAUACCGCAUAUUCUGUGAGCAGGAAAGCAGGGGAUCGCAAGACCUUGCGCUGAUUGAGCGGCCGAUAUCAGAUUAGCUAGUUGGUGGGUAAAGGCUCACCAAGGCGACGAUCCUGUAGCGGGUCUGAGAGGAUGAUCCGCCACACUGGAACUGAGACACGGUCCAGACUCCUACGGGAGGCAGCAGUGGGGAAUUUUGGGACAAUGGGCGCAAGCCUGAUCCAGCCAUGCCGCGUGAGUGAAG
rnacentral:rRNA from 1 species